rnacentral:rRNA from 1 species
GAUGAACGCUGGCGGCGUGCUUAACACAUGCAAGUCGAACGAAGCAUUUGCGACAGAUUUUUUCGGAAUGAAGUUGCUUAUGACUGAGUGGCGGACGGGUGAGUAACGCGUGGGUAACCUGCCUUGUACUGGGGGAUGGCAGCUGGAAACGGCUGGUAAUGCCGCAUACGCGCACAAGGUUGCAUGAAAUGGUUGGAACAGCUCGGGUGGUAUAAGAUGGCCCCGCGUUUGAUUAGCUAGUUGGGGAGAUCACAGCCCACAAAGGGGACGAGCAGUGGCAGACUGGGGAGGAGGACCGGCCAAAUUGGGACUGAGACACGGCCCAGACUCCUACUGGAGGCAGCAGGGGGGAAUAUUGCACAAUGGAGGAAACUCUGAUGCAGCGACGCCGCGUGAGUGAAUAAGUAAUUCGUUAUGUAGAGCUCUAUCAGCAGGGAGGAUAGUGACGGUACCUGACUAAGAAGCGCCGGCUAAAUACGUG